AAAGUGGACACUUUUUCUUUAGAGUUGGUAGAAGUUUAUAAAUAUUUAGGUUUAUGGUUAGACAAAUCCUUACGUUGGGGUAAGCACAUCGGCGAGACGGUCAUAAAAGUGCAAAAAUGUUUUAAUUUGCUUAAUGUUUUGGCUGGAUCAUCCUGGGGCGUUCACACUAAACAUUUGCGUCAAAUUUAUUUAGCUUUGAUACGAAGUCGUAUAGAUUAUGGAUCCUUCAUAUAUGACAAUGCCGCAAAAUGUCAUUUAAUUAAAUUAGAUAGGUUACAAAAUCAGGCUUUGAGAAUAACAGGGGGCUUUAUAAAGACUACUCCAAUUCACGUUAUGGAGAGUGAGCUGUGUAUUCCACCGUUAAAGCAACGGAGGAGAGAUUGGAAAGAAUACUUCGACAAAAUGUCAUUAGAAAAAGGAAUAUGGUAUCGAACGUUGCAGAGUGAGCCUCCUCAUAUACCUUGGAGCAGCUGUACACGAAUGAAAAGGAAAUAUGUAGUGUUGGCCCACAGGCUUAGAUCAGGGCACAUUCCAGGCAACAAAUUCGGAUUUCUUAUGGGAAAAACAUCUUCUCCAAAUUGUGACUCCUGUGGAGUCAUAGAUGAUGUAUAUCAUUGGUUGGUGGAAUGUGUCCGAUUCCAAUCAGGAAGAGACCGUCUGGUUGAAUUAUUAAACUUGAAGAGAUUGCAAGUUGGUGUCUUCAAUAGCUUAUUAGCUAAUCCAAAUUCUGACGGAGCUUGCAAUCUCUUUAGAUGGUUUAUGAUAGGAUAGGUUUGUAGGAUAAGAUGGAAUUGUAUAUAUAGAUAGAAUUGUAGGAUAAGAUAGGGUACAAUUAGGCUGACAUGCAUAAAUGUAAAAGCCUAUAAAUAAAGGAUUAAAAAAAAAAAAAAA